CCUUACCAGGUCUUGACAUCCCCUGACAACCGAGAGAUCGGGCGUUCCCCUCGGGGGACAGGGUGACAGGUGGUGCAUGGUUGUCGUCAGCUCGUGUCGUGAGAUGUUGGGUUAAGUCCCGCAACGAGCGCAACCCUCGACCUUAGUUGCCAGCAUUCAGUUGGGCACUCUAAGGUGACUGCCGGCUAAAAGUCGGAGGAAGGUGGGGAUGACGUCAAAUCAUCAUGCCCCUUAUGACCUGGGCUACACACGUGCUACAAUGGGCGGUACAGAGUGACGCGAAGCCGCGAGGCGGAGCCAAUCCAAAAAAGCAGGCCUCAGUUCAGAUUGUAGUCUGCAACCCGACUGCAUGAAGAUGGAGUUGCUAGUAACCGCAGGUCAGCUAUACUGCGGUGAAUACGUUCCCGGGUCUU
rnacentral:rRNA from 1 species